rnacentral:rRNA from 1 species
AGACGGAGGGCGCAAGCGUUGUUCGGAAUUACUGGGCGUAAAGCGCGGGCAGGUGGUCUGUUAAGUCUUCUGUGAAAAUCCGGGGCUCAACCCCGCGAAAUGCAGGUGAAACUGGCAGACUGGAGACCGGUAGAGGCUAGCGGAAUUCCUGGUGUAGCGGUGGAAUGCGUAGAUAUCAGGAAGAACACCUGUGGCGAAGGCGGCUAGCUGGGCCGGUUCUGACACUAAACUGCGAAAGCGUGGGGAGCAAACAGGAUUAGAUACCCCGGUAGUCC